AACAACAUGAUGACAAAAAUUUUGGAUAGCUAGCUUUGCGAUGUGCUUCCAAUAAUACCAUCUUUCGGGACUGAGUUUGUU
rnacentral:snoRNA from 1 species